rnacentral:misc_RNA from 1 species
UAGCGUCCGAGAGGCUGGUAGA